AAAAAACAAAAACAAGACAUGUGAGCUUGGACUCCAGUGUGGAAUCCCAUGUCCGCUCAGUGCACCUUUCUGCCGCUGAAAGUACAAGAGGAGAGGGGAAACCCACAGGUGGAGCUGACCAUGAGGACUGUCACAGCUUUGAGAGGCAAAUCCAGAAAUCAGCCCUCCAGCUUCCUCUACCAAGAAGACUGGCGGUUACAAC
rnacentral:lncRNA from 1 species